UUCAGCCAAUGAAUCAAGAAGAAAACCAGAGUGAAAUGCCAGACUCCUCAGGAGCUUUUGAUGGAAAUUGAGAUACUUUGAGAGGAGCUGGACAGUAGUGGAUUCUGAGAGACAAAGUUGGAAUAUUCAUCAACAUGAAAACCAAGUACGAAAUGGCAAUUAACCAGAAAGAUAGAAACAUUAAAGGACUGACAGGGAAACUUGAUAACCUCAACGAAAUGAUGAGGGAAUUACAGGAGCAACUCAGACAGCAGAAGGAGUUGGAAAGAAAGCGUCAUGAGAAAAACAAAGUGCUGCAGACCUACUGAAGAUAUGGAGAAAGGCAACUCAAAGAAUGGGCAAGAUAAGAUUACACGCAUGGAGAAGCUGUUGAGUAUGAGAGAUGAAACUGCAAGAGCUGCAGGACAGGUUAGCUAGUAAACAACAUCUACUUAAGGAAAUGGAGGAGACCCAAGGAAGGUUAUCCUACUGCAACCUGGAGUUGGACACCAAGCAGUGUGGGCUUAGUGAUGAUGUUGAUAGGUGGAAGGUAAAGUGCUCUAAGUAUGAACAACAUGAAAAGGAAGCAAGGGUCGAAAUUAAGCAACUGAAGGAGGUCAUUAACAAACAUGAGUUUAAAAAUACAAACUAUGAGUGGCAACUUAAAGAAAAAGACUGUGAACUUGGAGCCAUGUCUCAUGAAAGAUGAGGAAAUGGCAAGCUUAUUGUCUGAACUUUGAUUAACAUCGGAGUUUGAAAGCAGGGAAAAUGCUUUGCUGAAGGAGAGACAAAACCUGGAGGGGCAAAACUUCGAGGACAAUUAUCAAAAGUUGAAGCAACAGUUUUGAAUCAUUAGAAGAAAAGGAGUAUAUACUGAAACAAAGAAGCUGCACUUCAGCUCGGCAAUACAGUGCUUGACCCCCAGCUAUCACAAAAGCCCCAGCUUGUGAUAUCGUUAGAGACAAUGAUAUCCAAACAAGAACAGAUGUCCAACAACAUGAAAAAUUAGUUGUGCGUUAAAUAUAUGAACAUCAAAGCAUGCAAGAGCAGGAGGCAGUGCUGCAGUCAAGAAGAAAACACUUGGAAGAGGACAUGGAAGAGGUGAGGAUUGAAAGGAGCCAACUGCCUGAAAUCCAGCUUGGUCACCAGGAGCUCCAGGUCCUUGAUCAGCAGGUGAAGGAUUUGGAGCACAGUCUGAGAGACAAAGCCAGCAGCUUCUCAGAGGCAGCACUUAGAAAGAGGCAGCAGAAAAGGAACAAUCAGACAGGGCCAUGAGGGAAAAGAAGGACUCUCUACAGGACAAGGUCAAAAUAAAUGAAGACUAGUUGAAGAAGCAGUCUGAGUAUUUUGAGCACUACAAACAGAAGCUGCAGCACAAGGGCCCUGCUGGAGAGGCACACUUCGGGCGCAGCAGCCUCCAGGAAAACCCAAGGAUUCAUAGUGUGAUACAGAGAUGACCAGGAUGACCACCUUCCAGUUUGCUGGAAAGGGAAGAGCAUUGGUUCAACAAUAUGGAAGUACAAACCUGAGCAGGUUUUGCUGGAGCCAACUCUUUUCCCUUUCUUGGAAAACAACUCGUUUGCCUUUGCAGAUGUCAUGCAAGCUGUCUGGUGUGGGGGUUUAG